rnacentral:ncRNA from 2 species
UGUUGUCUUCAGGGUAGGGUGAAAGUCCCGACCGGCGGUAAAGUCCGCGACCCACGAGAGUGGUUGAAUUUCGAAAGAAUACCGAUAGUUAAAGUCUAGAUGGAAGAAGACAGAC